rnacentral:rRNA from 1 species
CCUACGGGUGGCUGCAGUGGGGAAUAUUGCACAAUGGGCGCAAGCCUGAUGCAGCCAUGCCGCGUGUGUGGAGAAGGCCUUCGGGUUGUAAAGCACUUUCAGCGGGGAGGAAGGCGGUGAGGUUAAUAACCUCAUCGAUUGACGUUACCCGCAGAAGAAGCACCGGCUAACUCCGUGCCAGCAGCCGCGGUAAUACGGAGGGUGCAAGCGUUAAUCGGAAUUACUAGGCGUAAAGCGCACGCAGGCGGUCUGUCAAGUCGGAUGUGAAAUCCCCGGGCUCAACCUGGGAACUGCAUUCGAAACUGGCAGGCUAGAGUCUUGUAGAGGGGGGUAGAAUUCCAGGUGUAGCGGUGAAAUGCGUAGAGAUCUGGAGGAAUACCGGUGGCGAAGGCGGCCCCCUGGACAAAGACUGACGCUCAGGUGCGAAAGCGUGGGGAGCAAACAGGAUUAGAUACCCCUGUAGUC